ACUCGUAGACUCCUACGGGAGGCAGCAGGUGGGGGAAAUAUUGCACAAUGGGCGGAAGCCUGAUGCAGCAACGCCGCGUGCGGGAUGACGGCCUUCGGGUUGUAAACCGCUUUCGCCUGUGACGAAGCGUGAGUGACGGUAAUGGGUAAAGAAGCACCGGCUAACUACGUGCCAGCAGCCGCGGUGAUACGUAGGGUGCGAGCGUUGUCCGGAUUUAUUGGGCGUAAAGGGCUCGUAGGUGGUUGAUCGCGUCGGAAGUGUAAUCUUGGGGCUUAACCCCUGAGCGUGCUUUCGAUACGGGUUGACUUGAGGAAGGUAGGGGAGAAUGGAAUUCCUGGUGGAGCGGUGGAAUGCGCAGAUAUCAGGAGGAACACCAGUGGCGAAGGCGGUUCUCUGGGCCUUUCCUGACGCUGAGGAGCGAAAGCGUGGGGAGCGAACAGGCUUAGAUACCCUGGUAG
rnacentral:rRNA from 1 species